CUUUUUCUUCUGUUUGCCACCGCCGGAUUUUGCGGGCUUGGAAGAUGGUGGGGGAGCCUUCUCCUUCUUAGGCGCCUACACCACCAAAAACAAACAUACUUAAAUUCAAGGAUAUAGAGAGAGAGAGAGAGAGCAUACGAUUACCAUUUUCUUUGAUGCGAGGGAAUCAAGAAGAAGUGGAAGACACCUUGUGAGGAGAACAAGAGUGUGAUGGGUAUAGCGCGGCUAGGGUUUCUAUUUCAGAAAAAACGAAAAAAGAA